ACCGAACAUAACCUCGGGGGCCGUGCGCGCGGUUCCCCGGACGCUGAGCGCGCUCCGCUGUCCCUUCGCGGACGGCGGUCGCUCGAAUGGCAGCCCGCCGCCGACACCGGUCCACGCGACCGGCGGCCAAGCUUUGCAGAUUCGCAGAAGCGAAGGCCGUGUCAGCCAGAGUGGCGGAGCGAAAGUUGCACACUCACCAACCAA
rnacentral:misc_RNA from 1 species